AGCUUUGUGCCGUGGCAGCCUCGUAGCCAGUGAGGUUUAUCCGAGGCGUGAUUACUGCUAAUUGU
rnacentral:snRNA from 1 species